rnacentral:sRNA from 1 species
UCCAUUCAUCCAUCAUGUGUUGUCCUCGG